rnacentral:pre_miRNA from 1 species
UUAACUCAAAUUUGUACGGAGUUGGAACGUUUGCCUAAGUUUGCCGCUAGGGGCGCUGUUCCAACUGCAUACAAAUAUGAGUUA